rnacentral:rRNA from 1 species
GGCUCAGAACGAACGCUGGCGGCGUGCUUAACACAUGCAAGUCGAACGAGAAGUACGUAGCAAUACGUAUUGUAAAGUGGCGCACGGGUGAGUAACACGUGGGUAAUCUGCCCUUGAGUUUGGGAUAACCCCGCGAAAGCGGGGCUAAUACCGAAUAAGACCACGGGGACCAAAGUCCCUGAGGUAAAAGAUGGCCUCUAUUUAUAAGCUAUCACUUGAGGAUGAGCCCGCGGCCCAUUAGCUAGUUGGUAGGGUAACGGCCUACCAAGGCUAUGAUGGGUAGCUGGUCUGAGAGGACGAUCAGCCACACUGGAACUGAGACACGGUCCAGACUCCUACGGGAGGCAGCAGUGGGGAAUAUUGCGCAAUGGGCGAAAGCCUGACGCAGCAACGCCGCGUGGGGGAUGAAGGUUUUCGGAUUGUAAACCCCUUUCGACCGGAACGAAUCUCCUCUUGGUAAAUAAUCAGGAGGAUCGACGGUACCGGGAGAAGAAGCCACGGCUAACUCUGUGCCAGCAGCCGCGGUAAGACAGAGGUGGCGAGCGUUGUUCGGAUUUAUUGGGCGUAAAGCGAACGCAGGUGGUUUGGUAAGUCAGGGGUGAAAGUCCACAGCUUAACUGUGGCACUGCCUUUGAUACUGCCUUUCUUGAGUGCAUGAGGGGGAAGCGGAAUUCCGAGUGUAGAGGUGAAAUUCGUAGAUAUUCGGAGGAACACCGGUGGCGAAGGCGGCUUCCUGGCAUGUAACUGACACUCAUGUUCGAAAGCGUGGGUAGCAAACAGGAUUAGAUACCCUGGUAGUCCACGCCCUAAACGAUGGGCACUAGGUGUGGGAGGUAUCGACCCCUUCCGUGCCGCAGCUAACGCAUUAAGUGCCCCGCCUGGGGAGUACGGC